CAUGGCUCGGGAUGAACGCUAGCUACAGGCUUAACACAUGCAAGUCAGGGGUAGCAGGUAGCAAUACCGCUGACGACCGGCGCACGGGUGAGUAACACGUAUCCAACCUUCCCAUAACUCAGGGAUAGCCUUUCGAAAGAAAGAUUAAUACCUGAUAGUACUUUUUCAAGGCAUCUUGAGAAAGUUAAAGAUUUAUUGGUUAUGGAUGGGGAUGCGUUCCAUUAGAUAGUUGGUGAGGUAACGGCUCACCAAGUCUUCGAUGGAUAGGGGUUCUGAGAGGAAGGUCCCCCACAUUGGUACUGAGACACGGACCAAACUCCUACGGGAGGCAGCAGUGAGGAAUAUUGGUCAAUGGGCGAGAGCCUGAACCAGCCAAGUAGCGUGAAGGAAUGAAGGUCCUAUGGAUUGUAAACUUCUUUUAUAGUAGAAUAAAGUGAUCCACGUGUGGAUUUUUGUAUGUAUACUAUGAAUAAGGAUCGGCUAACUCCGUGCCAGCCGCCGC
rnacentral:rRNA from 1 species